UACGUAGGGCGCAAGCGUUGUCCGGAAUCAUUGGGCGUAAAGAGCUCGUAGGCGGCCUGUUGCGUCCGCUGUGAAAUCCCGGGGCUUAACCCCGGGCGUGCAGUGGAUACGGGCUGGCUGGAGGCAGGCAGGGGGAGAACGGAAUUCCCGGUGUAGCGGUGAAAUGCGCAGAUAUCGGGAGGAACACCGGUGGCGAAGGCGGUUCUCUGGGCCUGUACUGACGCUGAGGAGCGAAAGCGUGGGGAGCGAACAGG
rnacentral:rRNA from 1 species